rnacentral:rRNA from 1 species
UACGGAGGGUGCAAGCGUUAUCCGGAUUUAUUGGGUUUAAAGGGUCCGUAGGCGGAUCUGUAAGUCAGUGGUGAAAUCUCACAGCUUAACUGUGAAACUGCCAUCGAUACUGCAGGUCUUGAGUGUUGUUGAAGUAGCUGGAAUAAGUAGUGUAGCGGUGAAAUGCAUAGAUAUUACUUAGAACACCAAUUGCGAAGGCAGGUUACUAAGCAACAACUGACGCUGAUGGACGAAAGCGUGGGGAGCGAACAGG